AUUGAACGCUGGCGGCAGGCCUAACACAUGCAAGUCGAACGGUAACAGGAAACAGCUUGCUGUUUCGCUGACGAGUGGCGGACGGGUGAGUAAUGUCUGGGAACCUGCCUGAUGGAGGGGGAUAACUACUGGAAACGGUAGCUAAUACCGCAUAACGUCGCAAGACCAAAGAGGGGGACCUUCGGGCCUCUUGCCAUCGGACGUGCCCAGAUGGGAUUAGCUAGUAGGUGGGGUAACGGCUCACCUAGGCGACGAUCCCUAGCUGGUCUGAGAGGAUGACCAGCCACACUGGAACUGAGACACGGUCCAGACUCCUACGGGAGGCAGCAGUGGGGAAUAUUGCACAAUGGGCGCAAGCCUGAUGCAGCCAUGCCGCGUGUAUGAAGAAGGCCUUCGGGUUGUAAAGUACUUUCAGCGGGGAGGAAGGGAGUAAAGUUAAUACCUUUGCUCAUUGACGUUACCCGCAGAAGAAGCACCGGCUAACUCCGUGCCAGCCGCCGCCGUAA
rnacentral:rRNA from 1 species